UACGUAGGGGGCAAGCGUUGUCCGGAAUUAUUGGGCGUAAAGAGCGUGUAGGCGGCCAGUCAGGUCCGUUGUGAAAACUCGAGGCUCAACCUCGAGACGCCGAUGGAAACCGACUGGCUAGAGUCCGGAAGAGGAGAGUGGAAUUCCCGGUGUAGCGGUGAAAUGCGCAGAUAUCGGGAAGAACACCCGUGGCUAAGGCGGCUCUCUAGUACGGUACUGACGCUGAGACGCGAAAGCGUGGGGAGCGAACAGG
rnacentral:rRNA from 1 species